rnacentral:rRNA from 1 species
GUGGGGAAUAUUGGACAAUGGGCGCAAGCCUGAUCCAGCCAUGCCGCGUGAGUGAUGACGGCCUUAGGGUUGUAAAGCUCUUUUACCUGGGAAGAUAAUGACGGUACCAGGAGAAUAAGCCCCGGCUAACUUCGUGCCAGCAGCCGCGGUAAUACGAAGGGGGCUAGCGUUGUUCGGAUUUACUGGGCGUAAAGCGCACGUAGGCGGAUUUUUAAGUCAGGGGUGAAAUCCCAAGGCUCAACCUUGGAACUGCCUUUGAUACUGGAGAUCUUGAGUCCGGGAGAGGUGAGUGGAACUGCGAGUGUAGAGGUGAAAUUCGUAGAUAUUCGCAAGAACACCAGUGGCGAAGGCGGCUCACUGGCCCGGAACUGACGCUGAGGUGCGAAAGCGUGGGGAGCAAACAGGAUUAGAAACCCUUGUAGUCC